CGGGGGGUGCUGCAGCUCGGCGGGGAUUCUGCGGGGACGCGGUUCUGGGCUCUUCCCCUCGCUCCCACCGCGUCUGCUUCACCGUUUCCUUGUUCCCCCUCGUUUUUCCAGUGACCCCCUGCUGGACCGCCCGCCUCGUACGCAGCCUGCAGCCUUGCAGCUCUUCAGCUCCCUCCAAAUGUCUGGUUUAAAACAUGAUGCACAGAUGGCUCAUGCAUGCUCUAACUCUGGGAUGAUCUGGACACAUUCACUUCAUUGCUGCAUGCAGAUUAACUCCCGAGAAUACUGGCUGGAAUUCUGAUACGCGGGAGCAGUAUGAAAGUCAAUUAGAAAAGGAGCCAUCAAUGAUAGAGGUGGAUUCUGUUGUGGCACAGAGAAUGAGUUCAGCCAGCUUCAUGAGAAAGACUUGAUAGUUUGGUUGAAGCUGAAAUGUGACCUUAGAGUGACUGGAGAUCUCAGUUCAAAAUGCUCACUGAACUUUUCUCUGUCCUGCCUUCAACCCUCAGCCUACAUCACAGGCUUGAGCAGGACACAAGUGGAAUUCCAGUUUGAACAGCCCUCAGUUUUCUAAGCCCAAAUAAGGUAACUUAAAAUCCAAAUCUCUUAAAUUCCAGUUCAGUCAUGUAUGAGUCAAAUUUUCCAAGCUACUCAGGUGGUAUUACUUCAUUAGGUCUUGAGUCACCUGUGCCUAGGCUGUGGAUUUACAAUAAGAGCUUAGUCCUUGUUCUGCACCCCAAUAGUGUAAGUCUGCUGUUCAUGAGGAGGGAGAUUUUCAUAUCAACUAACUAAAGGCACCUAAAGGUAUAAUUUCGAAAGCUGUUUAAACUGACGCUAGCUAUUUCAUAUCUAGAAAUGAUGUGAUCCAAAUCCUUUAAGAACUUAUUCUACCUUUUGAAAUUUUACUUAAAGGUAUUAGGGCUAGAUAUUAUCAUAGUUUAAACAAAAUAAAGCUGUUUUCUCCUUCCUUUGUCCUCAAAGGGAAGCUAUGGGAUAAACUUUACAGUGCAGUUAAAAGCUAAUAUUUAUAUUAAAAACUGCAUAUGGUAUGCUGAUUUUUGUAGACUAGAAGACUUCUCUCACACAUUCUUUAUGGAUCAGACUAUAUAUCCAAUGAAACAUUGUGAGCCCUCAUGCUGAACUCUCGUAAUUUAUCAUGAAAGAUGAAAUUCUGAGGCAGAGCAAGAGUCAGCAUAGGCAGUGGCACCCACUAGGGAAGUACUGACUUUAUUCCAUUUAAAUAGUUCUGGUUUAGGAAAAAUUCUGGGUUCUUCUAAGUGUUUAGCUUUUUAGCUGCUAUUAUAAGUUCCCAGAGAAACCUGACCUUGUGUAAAAUACUUUUGGUGUUGAAAAUCUGGGUUGACUGUCUUUUAAUAAGCCAUCAGAUACAAACUUGUCUCUUCCUUCAUAAAAUAUGUAUAUAUAAAAUAUAUAUCUCUUUCAGAUAAAGUCAUUUUAAGAAUGAGAUAUCAUGAUGGAAUAUGUAUCACAACCCUACAGGAGUUGUCCUAAUAAUUAUUUACUCUGUGGUUUGUUUCUGCUAUGUAUAUCCAGUUUAAAUUUAUCAAGAUUCAACUUCCCGGAAUUGUUUUUUUUUUUAAUGCCCAUAUCUGCUUGUUUAAGACCCUAUUUUAGUUAUGUUCUUGUGCAGGACACUUACACUGUUGGUAACACUCUCUUUAUGAUGUUAAAUUGAAUUUCUUCAGUCUGUCUUUAUAAUGUUAGAUUUUUGAAUCUUUUAUAUUCCUUAAAUUCAUAAAUUAGAGAUAUUUUUGUAAUACAUUAAAUAUUUUCAUUGUACUUUUUCUUUAUGCUGAGAUUAGUGGUAAAUUUCUCAGUACUUAAACUUUUAUACUGAAGAUGGGUGUAAUUUAGGAAUUACUAGCUUUUUGUAGUCCAUUUUUAUGAUGACUUUCUAGAGAGCCCCCUGACAGCACAUACAUACAUUUUCUUUACUGUUGCCCUGAGAGUCAGGAAAAAAAAAGGUGUGGACUCCUAAAUCAUACAGUAAAUUCAAAUGGAAAUGAAGCCUGUGUUAUCACCCACUGAUAUAAACAACUGACACAAAUAUUAAUAAUGAGUUAUAAACAACUGACACAAAAAUUUUUUUCUUAUUUACCUAACGAAAACAUACAGCACAUGAAGUGCUUAACAGAAUCAAAUAUACAUCUGUGUCACAAAAAAAAAAAAGAU